UGCUCAUCCUUCCACGUGCAUAUGUGGAGGCAGGGACAGCAGCAACAAGACCUCAAAAAUGAAAAUGAUUAAGACAGAAAUAGUACAAAAAGGAGGAGAUGUGAAGGAGUUGUGAUGUGAAGGUUGAGUAGCAGAUGUAAAGGAAUGGUGGGAAGUACAAGACAUCUUAAAUAGAAAAACCAAAGGUAUGUGUAGUAAGAAACCAGGCACUGAGAUACACUGGAUUCAUCUAUUCUUUGUGACCUGCCAAAAUUAACUGUAUCCUUGAUUGCAAUCAAUUUUAUCCAAUUCAAGGUUGUAGGGGGAUUGAAGCAUAUCACUGCUACCAUAGGCCAGUUAUACAGUUAUACCAGUCUGUCACAGGCUAAAACAGAGACAAACAACCAUUUGCGCUCACUGUCACACCUAUAGGAAAUUUAGAAAGAAAGAACCCAGGACCUUCUGGCUGUGAGACAAUAAUGCUAACCACUACACCACUAAUUUGUUAAAUUUGUUGAGUUCCAGGUAAAUUUUUAGACCUGGUAUCACUUGAUUGGAAAUAAGAACAACCCUACGUUUCUCUUCAGCACUGAAGCCAGGCUGACAGAAAGUCAGAGCUCUGUUGAGCAAAGCGCUCCAUUAACGUUAACUAGUAAUGACUUAAUUGUCAUGGUCCCUGUGCCUCCCCGGCCAGCCCAGUGUGGCCACAAGUGUUUGUUGUUUCUCUCUCUCUCUCUCUCUCUCUCCCCUACCUGUCUGCCUGGGCGGAGCUCUGACUGGGCUCCCGCCCUUGGCCCACGCACCUGCAGCUGAUCUCGAGUGAUUUGCAGUGGAUCUCUGGCUCUUCUUAAGGCUGGGGCUCUGAGCUAUUCGUCGCUGGAAUAUUGAGUAACCUCGGAAUCCCUUUCCCUUGGUGCCCUGGGUGUGCUUAGUUGCUGGUGUGCAGUGUUUCUGGAUUCCCUCGUGUGUGAAGAGCCCCUUUCCCGGAUUCCCCUGUGCCCUGGAUCCCCCUUGCCCUCUCACCUGUAUAUAGUCGCACCUGGUGUCGUGUAUCAAUAAAAGGAACUGUAUUUUA